rnacentral:rRNA from 1 species
CAUAGCGACUAUCGGGCAUAUCAAUAAGCGGAGGAAAAGAAACUAACAAGGAUUCCCCUAGUAACGGCGAGUGAAGCGGGAAGAGCUCAAAUUUGAAAUCUUCAAGGGUUUCCCUUGACGAAUUGUAGUUUAAAGAAGUGUUUUCUGUUAGAGAGGUGGUAAAAGUUCUUUGGAAUAGGACAUCAUAGAGGGUGAGAAUCCCGUAUUUGAUCACUUUCUACUAACGUUGUGAUACACUUUCAAAGAGUCGGAUUGUUUGGGAAUGCAGUCCAAAAUGGGUGGUAAAUUUCAUCUAAAGCUAAAUAUUGGCGAGAGACCGAUAGCGAACAAGUACCGUGAGGGAAAGAUGAAAAGAACUUUGAAAAGAGAGUUAAACAGUACGUGAAAUUGUCAAAAGGGAAGCGUUUGACACCAGUGUUGUUUUUCCGAAAAUCAAUUACUGAAUGGUUUGAUUUUAAGUUUCAUGACCUUCAUACGCUUGCUUCUUAUCUUUACAUGAUCUUUCGUAAUGCACUUUUCGGUUAACAAGUCAACAUCAAUUUCUUUUGUUGUAAAAGGGUAAUGAGGAAGGUGGCUUUACUUUCGGGUUAAAGUGUUUAUAGCCUUUUAACCUCUGCAAUCGGAGAGAUUGAGGUCUGCAGCGUAGACUCUUCGGGGUUAGAUACAGUUUGUGUUAAGCUAUAGCUUUUUAUAGACAACUUGUUGACUAUGAUUAAGUCUUGUAAUUUACUCGCUAGAUGCUAUUUUACCUACGCUUAGGAUGUUGAUAUGCAUGACUGAUAU